GACGAACGCUGGCGGCGUGCUUAACACAUGCAAGUCGAACGGAAAGGCCCUGCUUUUGUUGGGUGCUCGAGUGGCGAACGGGUGAGUAACACGUGAGUAACCUGCCCUUGACUUUGGGAUAACUUCAGGAAACUGGGGCUAAUACCGGAUAGGAGCUCCUGCUGCAUGUUGGGGGUUGGAAAGUUUCGGCGGUUGGGGAUGGACUCGCGGCUUAUCAGCUUGUUGGUGGGGUAGUGGCUUACCAAGGCUUUGACGGGUAGCCGGCCUGAGAGGGUGACCGGCCACAUUGGGACUGAGAUACGGCGCAGAAUCCUACGGGAGGCAGCAGUGGGGAAUACUGCACAAUGGGCGGAAGCCUGAUGCAGCAACGCCGCGUGCGGGAUGACGGCCUUCGGGUUGUAAACCGCUUUCGCCUGUGACGAAGCGUGAGUGACGGUAAUGGGUAAAGAAGCACCGGCUAACUACGUG
rnacentral:rRNA from 1 species